rnacentral:hammerhead_ribozyme from 1 species
GCACUGCCGAGGAGUCCCACAAUAGAACGAAACGGUCGUCCAGUGU